GUUUUUAAUUUUUGCGGGAGCAUAUGCAGAGGAUUCAGUUAUGGGUAGAAGCAAUAAUGAAUCAAGAUUUAGGAUUCAGCGUCGGGAAGGAGCAAUAAUAAAUCAACACAUAUAAGUACGCCGA